CGCCGAUAAUGUAGCGGGGCUUAAGUUAUCCGCCGAAGCUGUGGCAACCUGUGUGGUUGGGUAGGGGAGCGUCGUGUCAGUGGUGAAGCUCCCGGGUGACUGUGUGGUGGAGUUGAUGCGAGUGAGAAUGCAGGCAUGAGUAGCGUGUGACGGGUGGGAAUCCCGUCCGCCGAUUAUCCAAGGGUUCCAGGGUCAAGUUUGUCUGCCCUGGGUGAGUCGGGUCCUAAGGCGAGGCCGACAGGCGUAGUCGAUGGGUAACCAGUUGAUAUUCUGGUACCGGCUUGUCACCGUCCGUGUCGAGGUGUGUGAUGCUAAGCAUGUGAGCUUGUCUUGGGAGUGUUUUUGAUGCUUCUGGGGUGGGUGAGUGUGUGAACCGAUCAUGUAGUAGGCAAGCUGCGGAGGGACGCAGUGAGGUAGCUCAUCCCCGGUGAUGGUUGUCCGGGGCUAAGUGUGUG
rnacentral:rRNA from 1 species